ACUCUCACCCGGAACCUUUCAUCUCUUAUUGAAGCCUUUUAGGCCCAUUGGGAUGUUCAUUAGAACUCUGAAAACUACAGUUCUCCCCUUUAUGAGGACUGCACCACAGCUCGCCCUCUCCUGGGUUCCGGUAAGAAGAGAUUCCAAUACCACUCUUUUUUCAGAAUUCAGAAAGGCAAGAGACCACCUUACUGAGCUUCAAACUGGGGCUGGGAACGCUGCCAUGAAUUGGGCUUGGUCUGUCUGAAGGGAGCCACCUUUUCGACAAUCCUUAGACUUCUUUUGCCUGUUGGAAUUACACCUUGGAUCGUGGCGAAGUCUAUAGAGGUCAGAUUAAGAAGAACCAAAGCAGAAUAAACGUAGAACCCGAUGCUGAGUUCACGAGUGAGGACGACCUCUUCCUAUAUGCUUUGCUAUACCCUGCGUUUUGAACAUUAAGGACGAGAUAGGAGGCCCAUAAUGUUUCUUCUUGCUUUAAUCCUGUCGUGGCAACGUUGACUUCCAGUAAGAAAGGUUCUCUGAUCUUUUUUUCUCUUUUCUUUUCUUUUCUUUUCUUUUCCUUUCUUUUCUUUUCUUUUCUUCCAGGGUCUCAGUUUGUUGUCCAGGCCAGAGUGCAGUGGCGCAAUCUCGGCUCACUGCAGCCUCAACAUCCUAGGCUCAAGCCAUCCUCCCACCUCACCCUCCCGAGUAGCUGGAAGUACAGGCUCGUCUUGAACUCUGGGCUGAAGUCAUCCACCUGCCUCGGCCUCCCAAAGUGCUAGGAUUACAGGCCUUAGCCACCUCACCUAGUCCUCUGAAAUUUCUAAAUAAGCCAGUGCUGAAGGAUCUAGCCCAACUUCUACCAAACUUUGUUACCUUUUCCCCUUCAGUGGUAGGAAUAGACAUGAUUUAUUUAGCAAGGCCUGGUUGCAGAGUGAGCCCAUGGGACAGCCCUCUGAAAUUAUACUGCUUACAACCAUGCUGAGUCUGCAAGGACUUCGUCCAAGCCUUUCCGUCCAGGACCUCAAACAGAUCCAAUCACAAGAAGAGAGAUUUCAGGAAAGAGAAAAUUAUUCCUAUCAUCGGGGUUUUUGAAGAACAUGAAAUGACUGGGAAAAUAAUCAUGUUAAGUGGAAAAAAAAAAGAAAUCUAUCUGUUGUAAUUUUCAAAUAAUUUUUAAAUAAAUUUGAAAAAUUAAGAGAACUAUAUAUAUAAUACAUUCCUAAUCUUGUGAAAAAUAUAUAUGCAUUAAUAUUAUUGAAAGAAAUAUAUCAAAAGGUGAACAGCAAUUAUCACCAAUCUAGAUUAUGAGAUUAGGAGUGAUUUUUUUUCUUUGUCCUAUACUAUUUAAUAUUUUCUACCAUUAAAAUAUUCUGAUUUUCUAAUUAGAAUAGUACGUUAGACAAAGAAGGACAAAUAUCACAUGAACUCUCACUCUCUUAUGGAACAGAUCUUGUGGAAUCUAAAAAAGUUGAACUCAUAGAAAAAGAGGAAAAUGAUGGUUACCAGUUAGAAAAAAGGAAUAAGUUCAAGAGAUCUAUUGUACACCAUGGUCAAUAUAGUUAACAAUAUAUUUUAUACUUUAAAAUUGCUAAGGUAGUAGAUUUUAAGUGUUCUCACCACACAAAAAAAUAAGUAUGUGAAAAGCAUAUGGUAAUUAGCUUGAUUUAACCACGCCACAGUGCAUACAUAUGUCAAAACAUCAUGUUGUAUACUAUAAAUAUAUACACUUUUUGUCAAUUUUAAACAGGUUAUAAAAAAACAUGUUAUUGUUGAUAAUUAUGAAAAAUUUUAAUGAUGUGGAAAUGUGUACAGUAUAAUGAUAAAUGAAAGAGUAGUAAAAAUCCUUAUAAAAUAUAAUUACAAAUGUGUUGGGUGGAUAAUAUAAAAAUCUUAACAGCUAUUUCUGAGCUAAGUGGUGGAGCAUGGGUAAUUUUUAGUGCCUUCUGUGUCAGGCUGUUCUUGCAUUGCUAUGAAGAAAUACCUGGCCAGGCGCGGUGGCUCACGCCUAUAAUCCCGGCACUUUGGGAGGCCAAGGCGGGUGGAUCACCUGAGGUCAGGAGUUCGAGACCAGCCUGGCCAACAUGGUGAAACCCCGUCUCUACUAAAAAUACAAAAAUUAGCCAGGUAAGGUGGUGCGUGCCUGUAGUUCCAGCUGCUGGGGAGGCUGAGGCAGGAGAAUCGUUUGAACCCAGGAGGCGGAGGUUGCAGUGAGCUGAGAUAGCCUGGGUAACAGACCAAGACUCUGUCUCAAAAAAAAUAAAAAUAAAAAUAAAAAAGAAAUACCUGAGAAAAGGUAAUUUAUAAAGGAAAGAGGUUUAAUUGGCUUGCGAUUCUUCAAGUUUUACAUGAAGCAUGGCAGCAUCUGAUUUUAGGGAGGCCUCAGGAAGCUUCCAAUCCUGGCAUAAAGCAACGAGGAGCAGGUACGUCACAUGGCGAAAGCAGUAACAAGAGAGAGAGUAACGGGGGAGGUGCCACACCCUUUUAAACAAUCACAUCUCAUGAGAACUCACUAUCCUGAAGACAGCACCAAGGGGAUAGUGCUAAACCAUGCAUGAAAAAUCCGCCCCCAUGAUCCAAUCGCCUCCCACCAGGCCCCACCUCCCACAUUGGGGAUUACAAUUCAACAAGAGAUUGGGGCGGGGACAGACGGCCAAACUAUGUCACCUUCAUUUUACUUUUCUUUUUCCUACAGCAAAAAUAACCAUGUGAUAUUUGUGUAAUUGUAAUAAAGAACUACAAAAUCACUUUUAUCUUUUUAAAUACAAAAUUCAAACUAAAAUCAUUAUUGUUAGUUGGAGAGA
rnacentral:lncRNA from 1 species